rnacentral:rRNA from 1 species
GACUCUCGGCAACGGAUAUCUCGGCUCUCGCAUCGAUGAAGAACGUAGCAAAAUGCGAUACCUGGUGUGAAUUGCAGAAUCCCGCGAACCAUCGAGUCUUUGAACGCAAGUUGCGCCCGAGGCCACUCGGCCGAGGGCAAGCCUGCCUGGGCGUCA